rnacentral:lncRNA from 7 species
AGACUCAGUAGAGGGCGCGAGAGUAUAUAAUCCUGGUGCAGGCCGUUCUCAGUCCUUUCUCGCUUCAUCCGCGGUCCCUGUCUGUUUUCGUUAUGGCGCCUUGUACUUCUACCCAACGUUGCCCGCCCCCCAUCUUCCCAGCCCACCAGCUCCGUCCGCCUCUCCGGAUGAUUCGUGAGAUACCGAGCCUGCCGGGAAGGGACCGGAUUUUUCCGUCUGGUCCAAGGAAGCACGGGUUAUGGCCACAUGCGCAGUGAUAACUCAGGGCCCCACGCCUUUUGACCCCUGUUGAUGAAGAUUGUGAGGAGGGAGACCAGAAGAUAAUGGACAACGAUACAGCAGAAGGGUCUGGUUACACUUGAGCUUAUUUCUUGGAAGAGUCUGAGAAGACGGCCUGUCAGGCUCCUAACACUAAGGUAAUUGCUGGCUAAGACAGCCUGACCCUCCGGUUUCCCUUUCCCAUCGGAUCUUGACGCUGGUCUUGGUGGUCGUUAAGGAGGAAGAGCACCCUGAAGCUGGCCUCACAGCGAUGCAGUCUGCUGUAGAGCAGCAGGCCAGACUCAGACAUGCCUGGGCUUUGAAGUGGGAAAACUUGAGAACUGAUCAGUAUUGCUGAGUAAUGGCUUACUUUCAUGGUUUUUUUUUUUUAAGGGCCAUGUAACCAGUGAAGCAGCCAUUAUAUAUGAUUUGGUCUACACUUGUUGGAAAAAUUCCACAAGAGGAUCUCCUGGAAGCUAGCAGAAGUUUUUGGCUUGUACAUUGCCAGGCAGCCAUUGGAAUCGGAGCUGCAGUCAGAUUAAGGCCAGCCUGGCCUACAUUGAGAAACCUCAUUUUGGGAAAGUGAAAUACUUUGUCAAUUAACAUGCAGUUGGUUCAAUAAAGACUUUUGGAAAGUG